GACGAACGCUGGCGGCGUGCUUAACACAUGCAAGUCGAACGGUGAAGCGCCUUCCUUUUUGGUGGGUGUGGAUGAGUGGCGAACGGGUGAGUAACACGUGAGUAACCUGCCCCCUUCUCCUGGAUAACCGCAUGAAAGUGUGGCUAAUACGGGAUAUUCUGGGUCUGUCGCAUGAUGGGUCUGGGAAAGAUAUUGUUUCGGUGGGGGAUGGGCUCGCGGCCUAUCAGCUUGUUGGUGGGGUGAUGGCCUACCAAGGCGGUGACGGGUAGCCGGCCUGAGAGGGUGGACGGUCACACUGGGACUGAGACACGGCCCAGACUCCGACGGGAGGCAGCAGUGGGGAAUAUUGCACAAUGGGCGCAAGCCUGAUGCAGCGACGCCGCGGGAGGGAUGGAGGCCUUCGGGUUGUGAACCUCUUUCGCCAGUGAAGCAGGCCUGCCUCGUUUGUGGGUGGGUUGACGGUAGCUGGAUAAGAAGCGCCGGCUAACUACGUG
rnacentral:rRNA from 1 species